rnacentral:rRNA from 1 species
GAUGAACGCUGGCGGCGUGCCUAAUACAUGCAAGUCGAGCGAACAGAUGAGGAGCUUGCUCCUCUGACGUUAGCGGCGGACGGGUGAGUAACACGUGGAUAACCUACCUAUAAGACUGGGAUAACUUCGGGAAACCGGAGCUAAUACCGGAUAAUAUAUUGAACCGCAUGGUUCAAUAGUGAAAGACGGUUUUGCUGUCACUUAUAGAUGGAUCCGCGCUGCAUUAGCUAGUUGGUAAGGAAACGGCUUACCAAGGCAACGAUGCGUAGCCGACCUGAGAGGGUGAUCGGCCACACUGGAACUGAGACACGGUCCAGACUCCUACGGGAGGCAGCAGUAGGGAAUCUUCCGCAAUGGGCGAAAGCCUGACGGAGCAACGCCGCGUGAGUGAUGAAGGUCUUCGGAUCGUAAAACUCUGUUAUUAGGGAAGAACAAAUGUGUAAGUAACUAUGCACGUCUUGACGGUACCUAAUCAGAAAGCCACGGCUAACUACGUG